UACAGAGGUCUCAAGCGUUGUUCGGAUUCAUUGGGCGUAAAGGGUGCGUAGGCGGCGCGGUAAGUCGGGUGUGAAAUCUCGGAGCUUAACUCCGAAACUGCAUUCGAUACUGCCGUGCUUGAGGACUGGAGAGGAGACUGGAAUUUACGGUGUAGCGGUGAAAUGCGUAGAUAUCGAGAGGAACACCUGCGGCGAAGGCGGGUUGCUGGGCUGACACUGACGCUGAAGCGCGAAAGCUAGGGGAGCGAACGGG
rnacentral:rRNA from 1 species